rnacentral:rRNA from 1 species
GAGUUUUGAUCCUGGCUCAGGAUGAACGCUAGCUACAGGCUUAACACAUGCAAGUCGAGGGGAAACGAUAUGGAAGCUUGCUUUCGAUAGGGCGUCGACCGGCGCACGGGUGAGUAACGCGUAUCCAACCUGCCCACCACUUGGGGAUAACCUUGCGAAAGUAAGACUAAUACCCAAUGAUAUCUCUAGAAGACAUCUGAAAGAGAUUAAAGAUUUAUCGGUGAUGGAUGGGGAUGCGUCUGAUUAGCUUGUUGGCGGGGUAACGGCCCACCAAGGCAACGAUCAGUAGGGGUUCUGAGAGGAAGGUCCCCCACAUUGGAACUGAGACACGGUCCAAACUCCUACGGGAGGCAGCA